UUAACGCUGGCGGCAUGCCUAAUACAUGCAAGUCGAUCGGGUGCAGCAAUGCAUCAGAGGCGAACGGGUGAGUAACACGUAUCCAAUUUACCCCAUAGCGAGGGAUAACUAGUCGAAAGAUUAGCUAAUACCGCAUAACGAUUAAAAUAUCGCAUGAGAAUUAAUUUAAAGAUCCGUUUGGAUUACUAUGGGAUAAGGGUGCGGCAUAUCAGCUAGUUGGUGAGGUAACGGCCCACCAAGGCAAUGACGUGUAGUUAUGCUGAGAGGUAGAAUAACCACAAUGGAACUGAGACACGGUCCAUACUCCUACGGGAGGCAGCAGUAGGGAAUUUUUCACAAUGGACGAAAGUCUGAUGGAGCAAUGCCGCGUGAACGAUGAAGGUCUUUGUAGAUUGUAAAGUUCUUUUAUUUAGGAAGAAAAGCUAGUAAAGGAAAUGUUAUUAGUUUGACCGUACUAUUUGAAUAAGUAACGACUAACUAUGUGCCAGCAGUCGCGGUAAUACAUAGGUUGCAAGCGUUAUCCGGAUUUAUUGGGCGUAAAACAAGCGCAGGCGGAUUAGAAAGUCUGGUGUUAAAAUCAACUGCUUAACGGUUGAAUGCAUUGGAAACUUCUAGUCUAGAGUGUGGUAGAGAGUUCUGGAACUCCAUGUGGAGCGGUGGAAUGCGUAGAUAUAUGGAAGAACACCAGCUGCGAAGGCGAGAACUUAGGCCAUUACUGACGCUUAGGCUUGAAAGUGUGGGGAGCAAAUAGGAUUAGAUACCCUAGUAGUCCACACCGUAAACGAUGGAUGUUAAACGUCGGGGCGAUCACCUCGGUGUUGCAGUUAACACAUUAAACAUCCUGCCUGGGUAGUACAUUCGCAAGAAUGAAACUCAAACGGAAUUGACGGGGACCCGCACAAGUGGUGGAGCAUGUUGCUUAAUUCGACGGUACACGAAAAACCUUACCUAGACUUGACAUCCUUGGCAAAACUAUAGAAAUAUAGUCGAGGUUAACCGAGAGACAGGUGGUGCAUGGUUGUCGUCAGCUCGUGUCGUGAGAUGUUGGGUUAAGUCCCGCAACGAGCGCAACCCUUAUCGUUAGUUACUUUGUCUAACGAGACUGCCAACGCAAGUUGGAGGAAGGUGGGGAUGACGUCAAAUCAUCAUGCCCCUUAUGUCUAGGGCUGCAAACGUGCUACAAUGGCCAAUACAAACAGUUACCAAACCGUAAGGUGGAGUUAAUCUGCAAAGUUGGUCUCAGUUCGGAUUGAGGGCUGCAAUUCGCCCUCAUGAAGUCGGAAUCACUAGUAAUCGCGAAUCAGCUAUGUCGCGGUGAAUACGUUCUCGGGUCUUGUACACACCGCCCGUCAAACUACGAGAGUUGAUAGUGUCUAAAACCGUGUUGCUAACCGCAAGGAAGCGCAUGUCUAGGACAAGAUUAAUGAUUGGAGUUAAGUCGUAACAAGGUACCCCUACGAGAACGUGGGGGUGGAUCACCUCCUUUCUAUGGAGUAUAAUUACGUUUUAUACACCUUUUACAGCAAAUGGUGUUUUUAAAAAUCCAACCUGGAUUCAUAUUACCCAUACCAAAGCAAUUUGAAAUUAUGAAAUCCAUUGGUCAGAUUCUUUUCAGUUCUGAGAGAAUAAUUCUCUCCACAAAUUUAGGUAAUCUUUUUUCAGUUAGAUAAUUAUUCAUCCAUUGAUUUUAGAUUUGCCAGUUCUUGUUUCUAUUGAUUUGAAAACAAGAAAAUCCUUAUUAGCCUAAAUUUGUGAGAUGGUUCUUUGACAACUGAAUACAACAAAUCUUUCUAGUUCACACAUAAAUGAAAUUAAAUUUGUUUAUGUGCAAAAUAAUGCUAAUGGAUUAUUAAAAAAUAAGUUACUAAGAGCUUAUGGUGGAUGCCUUGGCACUAGAAGGCGAUGAAGGACGUGCAAAUCUGCGAAAAGUUGCGGGGAGUUGGUUGGAAACGAUAAUCCGCAAAUAUCCGAAUGGGGUAACCCAGUAUGGCGAAAUCCAUAUUAUUUUAUUCUGAAUUCAUAGGGAUAAAAAGCGAAACGUUGCGAAGUGAAACAUCUCAGUAGCAACAGGAAAAGAAAACGAAAGUGAUUCCGUGUGUAGUGGCGAGCGAAAGCGGAACAGGCCAAACCGGAGUAAUCCGGGGUUGUAGGACUGCAAUCUGGACUUAAAAUUGAUAGGAGAAGUGGUUGGAAGGCCACACCACAGAGGGUGAUAGUCCCGUAUCUGAAAUCAAGUUUAUACCUAGCAGGAUCCUGAGUACGUCGGAAAAUGUUAUUUUGACGGAAUCUGCCCAAACCAUUGGGUAAGCCUAAAUACUAAUCUAG
rnacentral:rRNA from 1 species